rnacentral:rRNA from 1 species
AUUGAACGCUGGCGGCAGGCUUAACACAUGCAAGUCGAGCGAGCGGCGGACGGGUGAGUAAUGUCUGGGAAACUGCCUGAUGGAGGGGGUUAACUACCGGAAACGGCAGCUAAUACCGCAUACCAUCAGAUGUGCCCAGAUGGGCUUAGCUAGUAGGUGGGGUAAUGGCUCACCUAGGCGACGAUCCCUAGCUGGUCUGUGAGGAUGAUCAGACACAAUGGAACUGAGACACGGUCCAGACUCCUACGGAAGGCAGCAGUGGGGAAUAUUGCACAAUGGGCGCAAGCCUGAUGCAGCCAUGCCGCGUGUGUGAAGAAGGCCUUCGGGUUGUAAAGUACUUUCAGCAAGGAGGCGUUACUCGCAGAAGAAGCACCGGCUAACUCCGUGCCAGCAGCCGCGGUAAUUC